UCAUCAACUCAGCAAAGCCUUCUUUGAUAUUUUUGUCAAUCUUGUCGCCGAUAAACCGUUCCAUUUCAGCUCGAAACUGGUUCUGGGAUUCUACCACAAAGUUCCUCAAAUCGCUACCAUGGCCCUGGUUGUCGACUCCUUCGAGGCUAUACUGUUCUUGGAUCGGAUCUAGCUGGAUGUGUGAAAAAAGUGUGAAACGGCAUUGGUUGCAGUGGGGGACAAGUGAAUGAUCCUGCGUUCCCUACAGGGGUCUUAAGGAAACAGAAGGGGAAAGAACUACUAUAAACUGUCCCAUACUCUACGGUGAACUAAUCUGCGGCGCUAUUUCUCUAAUGGACUGUCCUCGACCUUGGAACAUGAUAACAACAUUUAACGUUUAACACAAAGCAAUGACAGAGUCGGCUCUUUCCAACUUCGACUCAGUCGAAGUUUGGGAGUCAAGGGUGUCAUUUUAUUUAGUAAUCAAAAAUCCAAGUUUCUUCACUCGCCAUCAUCCCAUCGACCUCUCGAUACAUCUUAACCGCCGUUCGUCAGUCAAGGACACCGAGGAAUCAUCCAGAAGCUUCUGAGACUCCUGUUCUUAAGAAACUCAGGACUCCGGAUUUCGGUUGUAUUGGCGACUGCCUGAAGAAAAAGGAUCUUUUUACGUCCCACCGACUGUUGCUCCUGUAUCUCGAUCGCAAAUCUUCCAGUUUGCUUGGACCAGCUGAUGUCGUCGAGAAAGGAAAACAAUCUUUCUGCUGUUCGCCUACCGGUCAGACGAGGACUUCAAAAAGAUCUAUGGGAAGAGGAAAAUCCAGUUGGAGCCUGGUGC